rnacentral:lncRNA from 1 species
CCAGCGCCGGGGUAGCGGCACAGCUGCAAUUACCGCACCGCCGCCUUGGGAUACAGAGGCAAAAAGUGCUGAGCAGAUAGUAUGUUAUAUCAAGCUGCUGUCAAUGCUCAGUGAGAGGAGGAGCUUGGCUGUGUUUCUCCUAGAUUGGAUGCACCAUGACCUAAAGCUUCUUCCUAACUUGCCUGGUAGAGAAGCUAUCCAAAGCAAUCCGAUCCAGUUGGCCAGAUGGACCUGUGUUUCCAAGGAGAAGUGGUAGAAUCGGCACUGCGCGGGACUCGUUUAGCUGGAG